AAGGAGAAGGUGAACGCUCUUAGUUUACUCCGUUCUUCGGAUACUCCCUACGGCUUCCUACUUGAGCAUAUUACAUGGAACUCUUUGAGGUGCUUGUGCAAGUUUUCAUUUUCUAAACCUCUAAACUUGGGCAACAAGUUGAUCACAUCAAAUUUCAGUUCAAACACCAUGUCCAGAUAUAGAAAAGUGAUGCAGAGAGGCUACUUAUUUGUAGGUGGUGUUGACAGCUCUCUCAGUGCGUUCCUCUACCAUCUAGUUUAUUUCUAUUU
rnacentral:lncRNA from 1 species